CCCUUAGAUGGUCUGGGCGGCACGCGUGCUACAAUGAUGCAUUCAAAAAGUCUUCUGACCUUAGAAGGUUGGGUAUUCUCCAAAGUGCAUCGUGAUGGGAAUAGUUUAUUGCAAUUUUUAUCUUGAACGAGGAAUUCUUAAUAAGUACAGGUCAUCAACUUGUGUUGAUUACGUCCCCGCCCUUUGUACACACCGCCCGUCGCUCCUACUGAUUGAGUGUCUCGGUGAAUUCUUUGAUCUUCUGUCGAUUCAGUUCACUGAUCCGACGGUGGAAACUUGAAUGAACUUCGUCACUUAGAGGAAGGAGAAGUCGUAACA
rnacentral:rRNA from 1 species